rnacentral:rRNA from 1 species
UACGAAGGGGGCGAGCGUUAUUCGGAAUUACUGGGCGUAAAGCGCGCGUAGGCGGCUUACUAAGUUAGGUGUGAAAGCCCUGGGCUCAACCCGGGAACUGCACUUAAUACUGGUAAGCUAGAAGAUAUGAGAGGAUAGUGGAAUUUCCAGUGUAGAGGUGAAAUUCGUAGAUAUUGGAAGGAACACCAGAGGCGAAGGCGACUAUCUGGCAUAUUAUUGACGCUGAGGUGCGAAAGCGUGGGGAGCAAACAGG